rnacentral:rRNA from 1 species
GCUGGCGGCGUGCCUAAUACAUGCAAGUCGAGCGAACAGAUAAGGAGCUUGNUCCUUUGACGUUAGCGGCGGACGGGUGAGUAACACNUGGGUAACCUACCUAUAAGACUGGGAUAACUUCGGGAAACCGGAGCUAAUACCGGAUAACAUUUGGAACCGCAUGGUUNUAAAGUGAAANAUGGUUUUGCUAUCACUUAUAGAUGGACCCGCGCCGUAUUAGCUAGUUGGUAAGGUAACGGCUUACCAAGGCGACGAUACGUAGCCGACCUGAGAGGGUGAUCGGCCNCACUGGAACUGAGACACGGUCCAGACUCCCACGGGAGGCAGCAGUAGGGAAUCUUCNUGCAAUGGGCGAAAGCCUGACGGAGCAACGCCGCGUGAGUGAUGAAAGGGUUUACGGCUCGUAANACUNCUGUUAUUAGGGAAGAACAAAUAGUGUAAGUAACUGUGUCACGUG